ACAAGCAAACACGUACUACAUACGUAUCAGUUCUGUUCCGUCAUCGCUGGUAUCAACAUAUUCUAAAUCAUAGCAGUAGAGAGAGUGCAGGAAAUCUCGUAGGAAAAUUUGUCUCCAAAAUUGGAAAACAUCACUAUUGAAAUUAAUUCAAGACCAUCUAUAAAAUCAUAUUUCUAGAAAUAUUUUGCAGCUAGUCUCAUAACAGACUUUACUAAUAUAACAAGAACAAAAAAGCUAUCAUAUAUAGUUGUCACAAUGCGCAUAACAGCGUUAUUUAUGAUCAUUAUCACCAUUAUCGGUACAUUAAUAAUGUGUUCUAAAGGCAUAUUAUCCAUGGAAAAUACAUACUAUUCAUCAAGUACUUUUACAAAUGUAUCUGCAGCUUUUGUAACCUAUCUAGAGUUCAAACAUACACCUAAUGAAACAUUUCCGAAACCAAUAAGCGAGGCAGAUUUAUUUACAUUAUUGUCCUUACUUCUUCAAGACGUUCCUCAAAACGACAAAAAUUUCAGAUUAACGAAACAGAAUAUGUAUUUAGAUUAUCUUUUGGGAAUUGUAUAUAAAGUAG